rnacentral:rRNA from 1 species
AGCGAACGCUGGCGGCAGGCCUAACACAUGCAAGUCGAACGAACUCUUCGGAGUUAGUGGCGGACGGGUGAGUAAUACGUGGGAACGUGCCUUUUGGUUCGGAAUAACUCAGGGAAACUUGUGCUAAUACCGAAUGUGCCCUUCGGGGGAAAGAUUUAUCGCCAUUAGAGCGGCCCGCGUCUAAUUAGCUAGUUGGUGAGGUAACGGCUCACCAAGGCGACGAUCAGUAGCUGGUCUGAGAGGAUGACCAGCCACACUGGGACUGAGACACGGCCCAGACUCCUACGGGAGGCAGCAGUGGGGAAUCUUGCGCAAUGGGCGAAAGCCUGACGCAGCCAUGCCGCGUGAAUGAUGAAGGUCUUAGGAUUGUAAAAUUCUUUCACCGGGGACGAUAAUGACGGUACCCGGAGAAGAAGCCCCGGCUAACUUCGUG